CCUACGGGUGGCAGCAGUAGGGAAUUUUCGGCAAUGGGGGGAACCCUGACCGAGCAACGCCGCGUGAAGGAUGAAGGAAUUCGUUCUGUAAACUUCUGUUAUAAAGGAAGUAAGACGCAUGAUGGAUAUUACAUCCGAGGUACGGUACUUUAUGAGAAAGGCACGGCUAACUACGUGCCCGCAGCCGCGGAGAUACGUGGGUGGCAAGCGGUAUCCGGAAGUAUUGGGCGAAAAGAGGGAGCGGGCGGCAGUAAAGGUCUGUGGUAAAGGUGUGAAGCUAAACGUAAGUAAGCCAUAGAGACUGGGAAGCUAGAGUGCAGUAGAGGUUGGUGGAAUUCGUGGUGUAGCGGUGAAAUGCGUAGAUAUAUGGAGGAACACC
rnacentral:rRNA from 1 species